rnacentral:rRNA from 1 species
GAUGAACGCUGGCGGUAUGCUUUACACAUGCAAGUCGUACGAGAGUUUUGAACUCAAGUGGCGGACGGGUGAGUAACACGUAAGAAUUUGCCUUUAGGAGGGGGACAACAACUGGAAACGGUUGCUAAUACCCCAUAUGCUUUCGAGUGAAACGGUUUUUCCGCCUAAAGAGAAGCUUGCGGCUGAUUAGCUUGUUGGUAAGGUAAUGGCUUACCAAGGCGACGAUCAGUAUCUGGUUUGAGAGGACGAUCAGACACACUGGAACUGAGACACGGUCCAGACUCCUACGGGAGGCAGCAGUGGGGAAUUUUCCGCAAUGGGCGAAAGCCUGACGGAGCAAUACCGCGUGAGGGAUGAAUGCCUAUGGGUUGUAAACCUCUUUUUUCAGGGAGGAAUCAAUGACGUUACCUGAAGAAUAAGCAUCGGCUAACUCCGUGCCAGCAGCCGCGGUAAGACGGAGGAUGCAAGUGUUAUCCGGAAUCACUGGGCGUAAAGCGUCCGUAGGUGGUUUAAUAAGUCAACUGUCAAAUCUUGAGGCUCAACCUCAAAACCGCAGUCGAAACUAU